ACAGCAGCAGCCGCGGUAAUACGUAGGGUGCAAGCGUUAAUCGGAAUUACUGGGCGUAAAGCGCGCGUAGGUGGUUUGUUAAGUUGGAUGUGAAAUCCCCGGGCUCAACCUGGGAACUGCAUCCAAAACUGGCAAGCUAGAGUAUGGUAGAGGGUGGUGGAAUUUCCUGUGUAGCGGUGAAAUGCGUAGAUAUAGGAAGGAACACCAGUGGCGAAGGCGACCACCUGGACUGAUACUGACACUGAGGUGCGAAAGCGUGGGGAGCAAACAGGAUUAGAUACCCGCGUAGUCCCUGUCUCUUAUAC
rnacentral:rRNA from 1 species